GGCGGCGUGCCUAACAAUGCAAGUCGUACGAGAAGUUGGCUUCGGCCGAUGAGUAAAGUGGCGCACGGGUGAGUAAUGCGUGGAUAAUCUGCCCUUUAGUUGGGAAUAACGUUACCGAAAGGUUGCGGCUAAGUACCUGAUAAUACUGCAUAACUACUGUUGUGUAGUCAAAGAAGGCCUCUGUUUACAAGCUUUUGCUGAAGGAUGAGUCCGCGUACCAUUAGCUGGUUGGUGGGGUAAUGGCCUACCAAGGCUACGAUGGUUAGCUGGUCUGAGAGGAUGAUCAGCCACACUGGAACUGAGACACGGUCCAGACUCCUACGGGAGGCAGCAGUGAGGAAUAUUGCGCAAUGGGGGCAACCCUGACGCAGCAACGCCGCGUGAGUGAGGAAGGUUUUCGGACCGUAAAGCUCUGUCGAGCGGGAAGAAAUGUAUCAUGGCUAAUAUCCAUGAUACUUGACGGUACCGCUAAAGGAAGCACCGGCUAACUCCGUG
rnacentral:rRNA from 1 species